rnacentral:rRNA from 1 species
UAGGGAAAGUUUUUCGGUGUAGGAUGAGACUAUAUAGUAUCAGCUAGUUGGUAAGGUAAUGGCUUACCAAGGCUAUGACGCUUAACUGGUCUGAGAGGAUGAUCAGUCACACUGGAACUGAGACACGGUCCAGACUCCUACGGGAGGCAGCAGUAGGGAAUAUUGCGCAAUGGGGGAAACCCUGACGCAGCAACGCCGCGUGGAGGAUGACACUUUUCGGAGCGUAAACUCCUUUUCUUAGGGAAGAAUUCUGACGGUACCUAAGGAAUAAGCACCGGCUAACUCCGUGCCAGCAGCCGCGGUAAUACGGAGGGUGCAAGCGUUACUCGGAAUCACUGGGCGUAAAGGGCGCGUAGGCGGAUUAUCAAGUCUCUUGUGAAAUCUAAUGGCUUAACCAUUAAACUGCUUGGGAAACUGAUAGUCUGGAGUGAGGGAGAGGCAGAUGGAAUUGGUGGUGUAGGGGUAAAAUCCGUAGAUAUCACCAAGAAUACCCAUUGCGAAGGCGAUCUGCUGGAACUCAACUGACGCUAAGGCGCGAAAGCGUGGGGAGCAAACAGGAUUAGAUACCCUGGUAGUCCACGCCCUAAACGAUGUACACUAGUUGUUGGGGUGCUAGUCAUCUCAGUAAUGCAGCUAACGCAUUAAGUGUACCGCCUGGGGAGUACGGUCGCAAGAUUAAAACUCAAAGGAAUAGACGGGGACCCGCACAAGCGGUGGAGCAUGUGGUUUAAUUCGAAGAUACGCGAAGAACCUUACCUGGGCUUGAUAUCCUAAGAACCUUUUAGAGAUAAGAGGGUGCUAGCUUGCUAGAACUUAGAGACAGGUGCUGCACGGCUGUCGUCAGCUCGUGUCGUGAGAUGUUGGGUUAAGUCCCGCAACGAGCGCAACCCACGUAUUUAGUUGCUAACGGUUCGGCCGAGCACUCUAAAUAGACUGCCUUCGUAAGGAGGAGGAAGGUGUGGACGAGGUCAAGUCAUCAUGGCCCUUAUGCCCAGGGCGACACACGUGCUACAAUGGCAUAUACAAUGAGACGCAAUACCGCGAGGUGGAGCAAAUCUAUAAAAUAUGUCCCAGUUCGGAUUGUUCUCUGCAACUCGAGAGCAUGAAGCCGGAAUCGCUAGUAAUCGUAGAUCAGCCAUGCUACGGUGAAUACGUUCCCGGGUCUUGUACUCACCGCCCGUCACACCAUGGGAGUUGAUUUCACUCGAAGCCGGAAUACUAAACUAGUUACCGUCCACAGUGGAAUCAGCGACUGGGGUGAAGUCGUAACAAGGUAACCGUAGGAGAACCUGCGGUUGGAUCACCUCCUUUCUA